CAGCCGCCGCGGUAAUACGUAGGGUGCAAGCGUUAAUCGGAAUUACUGGGCGUAAAGCGUGCGCAGGCGGUUAUUCAAGACAGAUGUGAAAUCCCCGGGCUCAACCUGGGAACUGCAUUUGUGACUGGAUGACUAGAGUACGGCAGAGGGGGAUGGAAUUCCGCGUGUAGCAGUGAAAUGCGUAGAUAUGCGGAGGAACACCGAUGGCGAAGGCAAUCCCCUGGGCCUGUACUGACGCUCAUGCACGAAAGCGUGGGGAGCAAACAGGAUUAGAUACCCCCGUAGUCCCUGUCUCUUAUAC
rnacentral:rRNA from 1 species